rnacentral:rRNA from 1 species
GAUGAACGCUGGCGGCGUGCCUAAUACAUGCAAGUCGAGCGAACAGACGAGGAGCUUGCUCCUCUGACGUUAGCGGCGGACGGGUGAGUAACACGUGGAUAACCUACCUAUAAGACUGGGAUAACUUCGGGAAACCGGAGCUAAUACCGGAUAAUAUAUUGAACCGCAUGGUUCAAUAGUGAAAGACGGUUUUGCUGUCACUUAUAGAUGGAUCCGCGCCGCAUUAGCUAGUUGGUAAGGUAACGGCUUACCAAGGCGACGAUGCGUAGCCGACCUGAGAGGGGGAUCGGCCACACUGGAACUGAGACACGGUCCAGACUCCUACGGGAGGCAGCAGUAGGGAAUCUUCCGAAAUGGGCGAAAGCCGGACGGAGCAACGCCGCGUGAGUGAUGAAGGUCUUCGGAUCGUAAAACUCUGUUAUUAGGGAAGAACAAAUGUGUAAGUAACUAUGCACGUCUUGACGGUACCUAAUCAGAAAGCCACGGCUAACUACGUG